rnacentral:tRNA from 1 species
GGGGUCAUGGUAUAACCAGGUAGUACGGCAGGCUCCAGACCUGCUAGUCGGGGUUCAAAUCCUCGUGGCCCCA